GAUGAACGCUGGCGGCGUGCCUAAUACAUGCAAGUCGAGCGAACAGACGAGGAGCUUGCUCCUCUGACGUUAGCGGCGGACGGGUGAGUAACACGUGGAUAACCUACCUAUAAGACUGGGAUAACUUCGGGAAACCGGAGCUAAUACCGGAUAAUAUAUUGAGCCGCAUGGUUCAAUAGUGAAAGACGGUUUUGCUGUCACUUAUAGAUGGAUCCGCGCCGCAUUAGCUAGUUGGUAAGGUAACGGCUUACCAAGGCGACGAUGCGUAGCCGACCUGAGAGGGUGAUCGGCCACACUGGAACUGAGACACGGUCCAGACUCCUACGGGAGGCAGCAGUAGGGAAUCUUCCGCAAUGGGCGAAAGCCUGACGGAGCAACGCCGCGUGAGUGAUGAAGGUCUUCGGAUCGUAAAACUCUGUUAUUAGGGAAGAACAAAUGUGUAAGUAACUAUGCACGUCUUGACGGUACCCAAUCAGAAAGCCACGGCUAACUACGUG
rnacentral:rRNA from 1 species